GCCUGGGUGGCUCAGUCAGUUAAGCAUUUGACUUCAGCUCAGGUCAUGAUCUCACAGUUUGUGGGUUCAAACCCCGCACUGGGCU
rnacentral:tRNA from 1 species